rnacentral:RNase_P_RNA from 1 species
UGCCGCCGGUACCGACUUCAGGUACGGGAGGAAAGUCCGGGCACCGCAGGGCGCCGUACUUCCUAACAGGAAGGCGCGGGGAGUUUUGUGAGAAAUGCUUCCCGCGACAGACAGUGCAACAGAAAAUAACCGCCUCCGGGGCUUUUCCAACCCUUGGUCACGGAGGUAAGGGUGAAAAGGCGGGGUAAGAGCCCACCGCCGCAGCGGUGACGCUGCGGGCAUAUGUAAACCUUACGGGGUGAAAUGCCAUGUACACCGGGAGCCCGAAAGGGCAGGCGCUGCCCGCGCCGUUUUCCCCGGGGGGUAGGCAGAUUGAGGCUGCGGGUGACCGUAGUCCUGGAUAAAUGGCAAGAGCCGGCGCGUUCAUUAAGGCGCGGCGGUACAGAACCCGGCUUACAGCCCUGUC